rnacentral:rRNA from 1 species
ACGGCUCAGUAACACGUGGCUAAUCUGCCCUUGGGACCGGAACACCCCCGGGAAACUGGGGCUAAUUCUCGAUAGGUGAAGAACUCUGGAAUGAGUCUUCACCAAAAAGACGUUUACGUUAUGCUCGUAGGCGUCGCCCAAGGAUGAGGCCGCGACCGAUCAGGUUGUUGGUGAGGUAAUGGCUCACCAAGCCUUUUACCGGUGCGGGCCGUGAGAGCGGGAGCCCGGAGAUGGGCACUGAGACAAGGGCCCAGGCCCUACGGGGCGCAGCAGUCGCGAAAACUUUGCAAUACACGAAAGUGUGACAGGGCUAUCCCGAGUGCCAUCCGCUGAGGAAGGCUUUUACCCAGUCUAGAAAGCUGGGGGAAUAAGGAGAGGGCAAGUCUGGUGUCAGCCGCCGCGGUAAUACCAGCUCUCCGAGUGGUGUGGAUGUUUAUUGGGCCUAAAGCAUCCGUAGCUGGCUGAGUUAGUCCCUUGUUAAAUCCACCGAAUUAAUCGUUGGAUUGCGGGGGAUACUGCUCGGCUAGGGGACGAGAGAGGCAGACGGUAUUUCUGGGGUAGGGGUGAAAUCCUAUAAUCCCAGGAGGACCACCAGUGGCGAAGGCUGUCUGCUAGAACGCGCCCGACGGUGAGGGAUGAAAGCUGGGGGAGCGAACCGGAUUAGAUACCCGGGUAGUCCCAGCUGUAAACGAUGCAGGCUAGGUGUUUGGACGGCCACGUGCCGUUCUAGUGCCGCAGGGAAGCUGUUAAGCCUGCCGCCUGGGGAGUACGAUCGCAAGAUUGAAACUUAAAGGAAUUGGCGGGGGAGCACCACAAGGGGUGAAGCUUGCGGUUUAAUUGGAUUCAACGCCGGA